UCUUUUAAUUAAUUAAUUAAUUAUUAUGUCUUACAUUUAAAAUUUAUUUUAAACACAAAUAAUUAUUAAUAUUAAUAAAAAUAAUAAUAAUUUAUUGUAUUAAAAAAUAUAUAGCACAAAUUACAUAAAUACCCUCAACAAAUUUAUUUGGGAAAUGUAAAAUAAGGGCAAAAUUGGCAUUUUACACUUGCACCAUUUUGCACCAAAAUGGUGCAAAGUUUGGUGUUGGGUUGGAGCAAUUUUGCACCAAAAAAUGGUGCAAAAU
rnacentral:lncRNA from 1 species